GUAGGUGAACCUGCGGAAGGAUCAUUAAUUAAACGCGAAUUGUCGGGUGUCCACCACCCCUUCUGGGGGUGGAGAUCUGCGCCCCGACGUCCUUUUGAUUAUAUCCCAUCUGUGAACUUUUCCACUGUUGCUUCCGUGAGCCUGUGCUUUGCUCUCUUUUUUGAGAGUGGGAGUACCUGAAAAGCCCUGGUUCUGCCAGGGGCGCACGGCAAUGGUACCACAACUCUGGUUUUAUGUUGUUCAAGUCUGAGUGGUUAACACACAAACAAGUUAAAACUUUCAACAACGGAUCUCUUGGUUCUC
rnacentral:misc_RNA from 1 species